CUUCCUACGGGGGGCAGCAGUUAGGAAUAUUCGUCAAUGGGGGAAACCCUGAACGAGCAAUGCCGCGUGAAGGAUGACGGUCCUAUGGAUUGUAAACUUCUGUUGUUAGGGAAGAACGACCUAAGUAGGAAAUGACUUAGGAGUGACGGUACCUUUCAAGAAAGCUCCGGCUAACUACGUGCCAGCAGCCGCGGUAAUACGUAGGGAGCGAGCGUUAUCCGGAUUUAUUGGGUUUAAAGGGAGCGUAGGGGGAUUGUUAAGUCAGUUGUGAAAGUUUGCGGCUCAACCGUAAAAUUGCAGUUGAA
rnacentral:rRNA from 1 species